GCCCUGCUAGCGCAAUGGUAGCGCGUCAGACUUCUACGAAAGCACGAGGAACUCGAACCCUCGUGCCGGAAUCUGAAGGUUGCGGGUUCGAGUCCCGCGUGGUAUG
rnacentral:tRNA from 1 species